AACAACGGGGAGGGUAGAGGGGAAAAGAGAAGAAACGAUGAUUUUUUAAUCCCUUGAAAACGCUUACUAUACUUUUGUGAUGCUCUGCAGCCUCCCAGAAAGUCUGUAGGCAAUUAAGAUAAAGUUCAAUUGGAAAGAGUAUUUCAUCCAGGUCUCUUGCUACUUCAAAGUCAACUUUUUUUCCCGUAACACAUUUCAGUACCUAUUCUAAUAAAAUUGUUCUGUCUUCUUAUAGUAAUAAAUUAUGUGGGCUUGCUCUACACACCAAGGCUAGUGUUCAUCUCAUCUGAAAAUGAGAAUUUCAAAGGAAGUAUCUAAUUCAAGCAAGUUGCCAUGGCUCCCUCUACAGUCGAUGAAAGAAAGAGAAGUCAUUUACAUCACAAGGAAUGUAGACAUACAUAGUGGAUGAAAAUGUCCUUCUCUGGCUCCUAUGCAGAACCCCUCUCUGAGCUUCAGGAUUGUCAACAGACCACCUGGAGGGAUAAGUCUUAGCCAAGAACAUGGAAGCUUUGAGAGGCAUGAUCUCCCCGUCCUUCUUGGCUUCUUGCAGCUCACUUGAAGAACAUGUUCAUUCUCCAGCUACAGUGCACAGUGCACUACUGACAAGAGGUGGAGAUAGGAAAGAGGUGGCCUACUGUCUGCUUGGCACGUUGAGUACUGGAUAGAUCUCUUAUACUCAUGUCUCAAGGACACCAGAUCUGGGAAAGACCAAGGCUGGCCUUAACAUCUAUAGAAAACUGCACAGAAGAUAAAAAGAGAAGCAAAAAACAAAACAAACAACAAAAAAAAACAAUAAUCACAAAGAAAGGGAGAGGAAUGUAAUGAAAUAUUUGUGGGAAUGGUUUAACUUCCAAUUUCAGUAAAAAUAAUUUUUCACCCAAGUAUCAAGAGAUAAUAAACCAGAAAUUAAAUUCUUAAAAAAACAAACAAUCAUCUUAGUGAUUUAUAACAUUGUUCCUUGAUCAUCAGCUGGAGAGUUAAAUUAUCUAGAUGAGAUACACAGUAAUGUGGGGUUACACAUUGUUUUUUUCCAAGAUAUAUGAGCACCAUGUGUUAUAACUUCCUUGAGGACUGCAUUGUGGUUAGGCCACUUUGUUGAUUUUUUUUUUUGUUUGUUUGUUUUUAGAGUUGUUGUUUUCUUAUGAGGAAAGACUAAUCUCACAAAGAAAAAGCAGUUCCCUAAAAUGCACUCUGGAUUUUAUUAGGCACAGAUUAGUACUAUUUCCUGACACUGUUACUCCUACAAUAUAGCUUCUGCACCCAUCCGUAAGCAAUAGCGUGACACAUCAUUAUGAAGCUCUAUGGACUGUGUUUUUAAUACUGUGAUUACAUAAGAAAGCACAUGUAAGUAAGGACCUGGUUCUGUACCCUCUUAAGUCAGUGGUGCAAUUCUGAACCACAUAAAUAAAUCAGAUUUAUAGUUGUGAACUUGACAUUAAUUUUAUUUUUAAAAGAAUAUGUAUCGUAUGAAGGUAUAUCAAGUUUAUGUUUGAAAUAAACAUCUAAUAUAUAAAAUAUUAAAGAACAGAAUGUGCUUCCCACUGCCCCUUCCCUUCCCUUCCCUUCCCUUCCCUUCCCUUCCCUUCCCUUCCUUCCCUUCCCUUCCCUUCCCUUCCCUUCCCUUCCCUUCCCUUCCCUUC
rnacentral:lncRNA from 7 species